ensembl:lncRNA
CUCGUGGGAGUGAGCAUGUCCCAGGGAUGGACUGCUGUCUGCACACCACUUUGGUUUAAUUCUCCCAUUUCCUAACUGAUACACAAAAUCAUUUCUUAAAUAACGUCAUUUUUACAUUUAGAAGAGUUAAGAUACUGAUUUUUCUGCUCAGUCCAUUGGCUGUGGAAUCACUGAGUGAUGCAAGGCAGCUGUUCCUGCACUUUUAAAGUGCUAUUGCUGAGAACUGUGUACAUACAAAGGCAUAAAUAAACCUGCACUAGGAAGAAAGAACGUGGCAGAAACAGUAGAGAUCCUGGGCUGUGUGUUCAAGGCAAAGACAAGGACUUUCUGAAGAUAUGACAGAGCACCAUGGCUCUCCUCUCCACCAACGAAGGACUCAACAAUCCAAAGGAAGGAGAACCAUCUGAGAAAUGGGAGCCUAUCUUGUCCUGCUGAAACAAAAGAGUUGAUGUAUCUUUCUGCAUGUGGAAGGUGCUCAUCAGAAGCACUGGAACCACUUGGAGCAGAUGACAAGUUUUGAAGGUCACAUGUUGGUGGAUCACAAAUUCACUCAGUCCAGUAGACAGAGACACAGCUAAAGCUGAACUUCAGCAGCUACUCCAAGAAAAAAGCCUUUAAGUUUCUGAAGAUCCACAGCCACAAGUGAAUGCCAGCACUGAGAUGGAGAAACCAGCCUGGCCAAGAGCCCUCCGCCCCAGGCCAUUACAGGAAGCUGUCGGCUUGCAGAAGGACCUGGGAAAUGAUGGUAGUGAUGACAGGAAAGAGAAGAGCUCCUGGUUAUUCUGUGCUCUCUAGUCAUCCACCCCGCCAUGGCCAUGGCCCUGCUCUCAGCUGAGCCCCGCUCUCCAAACUGAGCAAAGCGCUUCUGCAGAGCUGAGUCGCAGCAGAAGCCACAGCACUGUUCAGGAGGAGAGACUGAGCUCUCUGAAACUCCCCGGAAGUGGCACAAAGGUAAUAACUGAGAACUAAACUGAAAUAUCAUCAUUGAUUAAUAAGGUAACCAUUACAAAGAGCUGGGUGUCAGGAGAAGGGUUAAAGCAGCACUGAAGUCAGCUGGUAGGAUGCAGCCCCGGUGAUGGGAAACUCCCAGGAGAGUCAUCUGCCAGAGCCAUUAGAUGUUAUAAAACAUAAGGAAAAGUGCAACUUGGAGCUUUGCUUGCGCUGAUGUUAUUUUGUGGGGAGAAAAUUCAUUCUCUUGAAUAUGUCUGGACUCUCAGGUCCACAGUAAUAAUGUGCUAGAACAAAAAAAUACUUAAUUUAGGAAAUUUGUUACAUUAUCAAAGACCUGUAAAACCUGAUUUUCUACCUUUAAGCACAGUAGCUGCGUUACUCAAAUUGCUAUGUAGAGCCCUUAUAUAUAUACACCAAAUUAUGAUGCUUAUUUCUUCUCUAUGUGGGCUGGACUCCGGAGAACAUGUUUUGAUCCUUUGUAGUGAAUACUAAAUUGUAAAAGUAACUGUAGAGUUGUGUUGUUCUCCACUUAACAAACUAAUAGUAAGCAACAUAUAUAGGGCAGGGGGAGAAGCUUUUAUAAAGACCAAAAAGAAAACAUAUUUAAAAGUAAGUGCUAAUCUUGUACUUCAGUCUGCUGUAUCUCAGCCUCACGGUCAUGGUGGUGCCUGACAUGCCUUGGACCUAAGCCUUGAAUCUGUCUGGGAAUCUUUGCCCCAACCUCAGCCGCUGCAGCUCUCAAGCGCACCAGAAGCUGAUGGUCAGGUUUGCAGUGAGCUGAUGCCCUCUGCUGGAUACGAGGAGCUUCUGACUGAAAAGCUGCUCUUCUAGAGCAGGACCCCUACCAGGAGUGAACUGGGCAGCUCACAACAGACGGGUGUUACACAAAAUCUGCUCAAUGAAAUAGCAAGGUCAGAGAGCACUUUUCUGUUCUUAGUUUGCAGCAUUCAUUUUCCCUUCACAGCCUUUCCCAAAGAUAUAUGUCUCUUAGUGGCAUGGGUACUGAAAAUGUUAUUACAGCAUAAUCUCUGAGCUAGUUACCUAAGUAUACUCUACGCACUGCUUGUCUGAGUCUUUAACAGGAAGCAUCCUAGGGCAUGUCUCUCUUAGGGGAAAAAAAAGAGCACUUUCCAUUUCAGGUAUGGCUUCAAGGACCUGUAGUAAUUUUCACUAAAUCCGCAGGAGAACUCACUGACUUUAUAGAAGAUGCUCACUUUUUGAUCAUGUUCUAAAUUGGAUGUGAAUUUUGCUCUGUGUGAAAGAUUGAUGCUGGAUUGAUGAGCUGAGGCCAACUGACCUUGAACAAGACCAGGUGCUGGGUCCUGCAUUUUGGCUACAACAACCCCAGGCAACACUACAGGCUUGGGGCAUUGUCUGGAAUGCUGCAUGGAGGAAAAGGACCUGGGGAUGUUGGUUGACACUGGGCUGAUCAUGAGCCAGCAGUGUGCCCAGGUGGCUAAGAAGGCCGAUGGCAUCCUGGCUUGUAUCAGAAAUGCUGCAGGCAGCCAGCAGGAGCAGGGAAGUGAUCACCUCUCUGUACUCAGCUCUGGUGAGGCCAUACCUCCAGUAUUGUGUUCAGUGUUGGACCCCUCACGACAAGAAAGACAUUGAGGCCCUGGAGUGUGUUCAGAGAAGGGCAGUGGAAGGGUCUGGAGCACAAGUGUUAUGAGGAGCGGCUGAGGGAACUGGGAUUGUUCAGUCUGGAGGAGGCUCAGCAGAGAUCUUAUGGCUCUGUACAACUCUCUGAAAGGAGGUUGUGGUGAGGCAGAGGUCAGCCUCUUCUCCCAAAUAUCAGCAAUCAGAUGAGAGGGAAUGGCCUUAAGUUGUGCAAGGGGAGGUUCAGGUUGGAUAUUAGGAAGAAUUUCUUCUCUGAGAGAGUGGUGAGGCACUGGCACAGACUGCCAGGUAGGUGGUGGAGUCACCGUCUGUAAGAGAUUAUUCUUUUAUAUCAUUUGACUCAAAGUUUGCUGAGGAACAAGUCCAGGCAAGUCCUGGGCAAAGGCAGAGAAAUCUUUUGUCCUUUGAUGGACAGGUCCUGGCUAAGGAUUGUGAAAUCCUCUAAGGAGCACAGAUGGACAAGGCCAGGGGCAACGAGAGAGAAGAUAAGCUGCUGCUAAUGGCUGGGAAACGGUCUUUUGUGUGGACUUAUCUUGAGGAAGAUGGCCAUCUCAGGAGGUAUGCCCAGGACUCUUGCUCAAGCACCCAGGAAUGUCAUGUAGGCAGGAGAAAAUGGAGGAUAAAAGAGGGUCCAACAACCACGGCGAGGUAGAGGCUUAUCUCUCACCACGACAGACUUGAGGGGUUCUCUGCCAUCUGAUCCUUCACCACAACGUGGAGACUGAUCUCUCACCACGACACGAGCUUCCUGCCUUCAGAUUCUUCUCUACAGACCGUUUGCUGACGGACUUCCCUGGGCCUGCUACCUGAGACCUGCUGCUUCCUCCCUGACCUGCACCCUCUCGUUGCCCAAGACCGGCCCCGCUGCUCCUGCCCUUCGGCCUCAGACCGUCGGAACAUCGUGUAACGGGACUGCUGCUGGAUCCUGGUGGUGACUAUCCCUGCUUUACGCAAUUCUUGCCUCUUUCUAUCUUUUCUAUCGCUCGCCUUCCCUUCCCCAUCACCCCAAUCCUUAAUAGUGUCCGUCCUCCCCUUUCCCCAUCUCCCUUAUUAACAUUUGUAAUAAACUGGUCGGACCAACAUUUGAACCGUUGUUUCUUAAUCUCACGCUGGGCAUACAUAUUUCAAAGAACCUCCUCUCCCUCCUAUAAAUUGGAGCGAGACACCGUCCCUCAUGUGGCACUGGUUAGUGGGCAUGAUAAGGAUGGUUUGACAGUUGGACUUGGUGAUUUUCGUGGUCUCUUCCAACCGUAAUGUUUUUAUGAUUCUAUGAAACCGAAACAG